CUGAGAUCCGCUUCCUGGGACUCAACUACAAGUACAUGGUGCCAUUUCUGCUCAAUCAAGGUGGAUCUGUCCUCUUCUACCUCACCUUGGCGUCCGCAGAUCUGUCCCUGGCAGUACCACUCUGUAACUCCCUGGCUUUGACAGUCACGCUGGUGACUGGGAGGAUUCUGGGAGAGGACAUUGGUGGUAAAAGGGCUGUGGCAGGAAUGCUGCUCACCAUCCUAGGAGUUGCGCUCUGUGUAGCUGGCUCGUGAACAAGAAGCAGUGAGAAGCAGAGGAAGAGAACCUGUUCAAAGGUAACCCCCUGUGGCUGAAGGGGGGGCUUCUGGCUCAGCAGCGGACCCUUUGGCUCAGUUACACCUAGGAAGCUGCAUUUUGACACACGGAUGUCAAAAAAACGUGAAAAUGUGGACUGUAUUCCCUGACACCAGGGUGGAACAAGGCAUGUUGCCAGGGCAUCCUAUUUAGUGUCUUGAGCUAUGGAAUUUUUUGUCUGUGGGUGCUUCAAGGCAAGGAUGAUUGAAUUGUCUUUGUUCAGCACUGGAGAGAUA